GGGUGGUAAUGCCGGAUGUUCCACAUGAUCGCAUGUGAUUGUGGGAAAGAUUCUAUCGGCGUGGGAUGGGGUCGCGUCCUAUCAGCUUGUUGGUGAGGUAACGGCUCACCAAGGCUUCGACGGGUAGCCGGCCUGAGAGGGCGACCGGCCACAUUGGGACUGAGAUACGGCCCAGACUCCUACGGGAGGCAGCAGUGGGGAAUAUUGCACAAUGGGCGCAAGCCUGAUGCAGCGACGCCGCGUGAGGGAUGGAGGCCUUCGGGUUGUAAACCUCUUUUGUUUGGGAGCAAGCCUUCGGGUGAGUGUACCUUUCGAAUAAGCGCCGGCUAACUACGUGCCAGCAGCCGCGGUAAUACGUAGGGCGCAAGCGUUAUCCGGAUUUAUUGGGCGUAAAGGGCUCGUAGGCGGCUCGUCGCGUCCGGUGUGAAAGUCCAUCGCUUAACGGUGGAUCUGCGCCGGGUACGGGCGGGCUGGAGUGCGGUAGGGGAGACUGGAAUUCCCGGUGUAACGGUGGAAUGUGUAGAUAUCGGAAAAA
rnacentral:rRNA from 1 species